UACGUAGGGUGCGAGCGUUGUCCGGAAUUAUUGGACGUAAAGGGCUCGUAGGCGGUCUGUCACGUCGGGAGUGAAAACCCAGGGCUCAACCCUGGGCCUGCUUCCGAUACGGGCAGACUAGAGGUAUGCAGGGGAGAAUGGAAUUCCUGGUGUAGCGGUGAAAUGCGCAGAUAUCAGGAGGAACACCGGUGGCGAAGGCGGUUCUCUGGGCAUUACCUGACGCUGAGGAGCGAAAGUGUGGGGAGCGAACAGG
rnacentral:rRNA from 1 species